GACGGGGAGCAGAAUUUUGAUUAGGGAGAUGAAAGUCAUCAACAAGAUUGGGGAGACGAAACCUUGGACCUGGAUCAUCACUAUUGUGAUGAAAUUCCUGCUGUAAGUGAUGAUGACGACUUGGCAGACCUAGAAAUUUCUUUUGCCUCUACAAUUGACCUUACAAUGGACGAGGAAAUUAAUUUGGAUUUGGUUGAAGGUAAAUUUUCAUUUAAAAUUAUUAUUGUUAAAAACUAAUUUUUAUCUGUUUGAAUUUAAGAGUUGGAAAAGAGGAAAAGGAUGAGCAAUGAUGGCCCAAUGCAAUGUAAACGCCAAAAACUAAACUAGUUUUACUACC